rnacentral:rRNA from 1 species
GACAGAGGGUGCAAACGUUGCUCGGAAUUACUGGGCGUAAAGCGCGUGUAGGUGGAUUGGUGUGUCAGAUGUGAAAGCCCUGGGCUCAACCCAGGAACUGCACCUGAAACUACCAGUCUUGAGUGGUGGAGAGGGAAGUGGAAUUCCUGGUGUAGAGGUGAAAUUCGUAGAUAUCAGGAGGAACACCGGUGGCGAAGGCGGCGACCUGGGUUGAUACUGACGCUGAGGCGCGAAAGCGUGGGGAGCAAACAGG